CGCCCGCACGGGCAUGGACUACGCCUGCCUGCAUCCUUGGUCACGCGCGGCCCCUGCGCACGCACGUGGAAUCGCGAGCCUGCCUAUACCUGCCUGCCCACCCUUAACCCUUUGCCUUUGGUGGGGAAAGCGUUGUCCUACGGAGGGAGAGGCCGCGUAGGCACUCAAACCAGCCGGGAGUGCGCGCCUCCUGUUCGACGAAAUGCGCCAUCGCCCACCGGUGGUACGGUGCCUUGCUGCUUCAACGUCAAACAAAGCGCCGAGUGAAGUGAAGUGAAGUGUGAACUUGGACUUGGUUAGUUGGCUUGUCAGCAGUCGCCAUGCAUCAAUCAUGGAGGCAGGCCUUUCUCUCUGCGAAAAUUCUGGCAAGCUUCAUCAAUUUCUUUGCCACUUGAUGUCAAGACUCAGAGCCGGUCAAUCACCCUUGGCUGAUUCUCUCCUGUCCUCAACGUUUGCAAUGACAACACAUUACUAUGGAAGAAUUGCAGAAUCCUAGAAGCCUUAUAAAUCCUUUCCCUUAGGCCCUUACAUACAAGCUGUAAGGUCAGACACUCAGACAUGUUUAUACAAGGUUAAACUCAAUAAAUCUUGCUUUCUAAUCUGAGGACAUGAGCCAUGUGUAUCGAGCAACGGUAAAGUAAAAUGCUAGGUUGAGCCAUUGAGAUCACGGAGAUGUAAAAGGUCCAAAACACUGUAUCUGCCCAUCCAUGACAAAUUCACAGUGCUUGAAAGUUGAAAGCAUAAUGUUACGUGACAUACUCGAAUUGAUUCUAACACGAGGGACCAAGUUAAAAAUUGCUCCAUUCAGCGUGCUGUCCCAGUCCUCUAAAUUAUGACUAUGGUCCAUGGGGGCCCUCGGACAGUUGGCCAAACAGAUUUGCAUUACUCCUUGUGUCCUUGCUAGUUGUUACGUUGCUUUCCUUGGUCUCAGUUGAUUAGCUCACCAGGAAGGUCACAACUCAAAAGCUAGCAGAAUCUCCCAAUCCCAAGUGCUCUCAUCCCUGGCUAUCUAGAUCUAGGCUCAAGCUCUGGUGUGCACUACAUCUGAGCUCCACAAAGAUCUGAUCUGCCCAGUACUUGGCAUUGGAAACUAUACUGAAGAAAACUUUAUUUGUCCGAGUUCCAGGAACUGAAGGUAUACCAACUAGAAAGACAAUCGCUUUAGUGCUUGACUCUGGAACCAGAAGGCUGGUUAAAUCUAUCUGCAAAGAGGCAGCAGAGGUCGUUGGAUUGACUGUUUACCACAGCUAUCGACUACUGAUUAAUCCGAUGCUUUCAUGUAACUGUUUCAAUUAGUCAUACUUCAGGACAGCAAAAAGAAUAAAACAAAUAAUAUGGUCAGCAAGGGUAGAUCCAAUCAAUUGAAACUUGUAGCUACAUUGAAUCUAAUAAAAAAAAUGUAUAUACCAUUGUUCAGCAGUCUACUUUUCCAUAAUUUCUGUUGUUCUAACUGGUCACAGUAAAUUUCGUUAUAUUAGGGUUUAAUUUGGGCAAAAGAGACGCCUUAAACUAUGGAAGCUGCUGUAGCAUCUGGAAUAUUGAAGAUUGUUGGCAACAAGUUAGUUCCACUGCUAAUGAAGGAGUACAGCUCCAUAGUGGGAGCGAAAAAAGAUCUCCAAGAGCUCCAUGGUCAAGUUGUAGAGAUCAACAGUUGGUUGGAAAGUGUAGGAGAUAAAGCUGUGGGGAAUGAUCCAUCGUUUUCUUGGCUCAAACAAUUGAAAAAUAUUGCUUACGAUGUUGAUGAUAUUGUCGAUGAAUUCCAGCUGAAGGCUGAAAAACAUGAAGCUACUGCUAGUGGUGGUAUUGUGUCCAAAUAUCUAUGUAAUAAACCAAAAUCAAUUAUAUUUCAGUGCAAAGCUGCUAGCAAGAUCAAGGCAAUCAAGAAGGAAUUUGCUGGAAUUGUGAAACAAAGAAAGGAUUUUAGCAUAAUAACAAAUAGUUUACCAGCUGGUCACCCUGUUCAUCAUGUGAACAUGACAGUUGGGGAGAUGCCAUUAUUGCCAAACAUUGAUGCAGCAUCUGUACUUGGAAGAGACAAAGAUAAGGGUGAGUUAAUAUCUAAACUUGUAGAAGUGAAAGGCCAACAGACAAUCAACAUAGUUUCCAUCGUUGGACUUGGUGGCUCAGGGAAAACCACCUUGGCUAAACUGGUUUUCAACGAUGGCAGCAUUAUAAACAAGCAUUUUGAAAUUAAAUUAUGGGUUCAUGUAUCACAGGAGUUUGAUGUUGCAAAGCUUGUUGGGAAGUUGUUUGAAGCUAUUGCUGGUGAGAAGUGUGAACAAUAUCCUUUGCAGCAAAUGAGCAAAAAAAUAUCAGACGAACUGACCGGAAAGAGGUAUCUACUUGUACUAGAUGAUGUUUGGACUAAGAACCAAUUUCUGUGGGACCAGUUCAUGGUGCAUCUGAAGAGUGGCACACCUGGAAGUGCAAUUUUACUCACUAUGCGUAGUAGUGAUGUAGCGGGAACAGUAGGAUCAACAUACCAAUUUAGCUUGCCAUUCUUAUCUCUGGCUGACAGUUGGCAACUGUUCCAACAAAGCUUAGGAAUGCAUGUGAAACAUCUGGAGUCUGAAUUUGUAGAGGUUGGAAAAGAAAUCGUGAAUAAAUGUGGUGGUGUGCCACUUGCAAUUAAAGUUAUUGCAGGCGUCCUCCGUGGCAAGGAACUCAUUGGAGAGUGGCAGGCCAUGAGAGACAGCAAUUUACUCGAUGUUGAGGGUGAAGAAGCUAGUGUAUCAGUAUCUGCAUGCUUGAUGUUGAGCUAUUUCCAUUUGCCUUCCCAUAUGAAACAAUGUUUCACAAUAUGUUCAGUUCUUCCUAAAGGUUACAUGAUAGAUAAAGAACAUUUGAUUGACCAAUGGAUUGCUCAUGAUAUGAUAACUCCACAAGCUGGUGUUGAGUUCUUGGAUAUUGGUGACAAGUACUUCAAUUCUCUUGUGCAAAUGUCUUUUCUUCAAGAUGUGGCUGAAGACUGGAAUGGAAGAGUCAAAUGCAGGAUGCACGAUUUGGUUCAUGAUCUUGCCUUGUCCAUUUUGGAUGACAAAAUUUCACCUGCUGUGCCAAAGGAGGCAACCAGUUCCGCCAAGGGCUGCAGAUACUUCUCUUUGAUUGAACGGCCAGAAAAUCUGGCACCCAAAAAUAUUUUUAGAAAGGCACGUGCUGUAUAUAUGCCUUGGUCUGGAGAUUAUACAAAUGUCAUGGCACUGAAGCAUGCAAAGCACUUGCGUAGUGUCAUGGUGGGCUAUCUAGAUGAAGAAGGAGCCAACAUCAUAUCUCAGGUUAAAUAUCUGAAAUAUCUUUCCAUGUCAUUAUUACAAAGAUGUAAAACGCUUCCUGAGGGUAUCUCAGAUGUUUGGAGCCUGCAAGCACUUCAUGUAACACACAGCAAUUCACUUGUCGAGAUACCCAAAUCCAUUGGUAAGAUGAAAAUGUUAAGAACACUAAACUUGUCGGGCUCUAUAGCGCUAAAGAGUUUGCCAGAUUCUAUUGGUGAUUGUCAUAUGAUUUCAAGUAUUGAUCUUUGCAGUUGCAUUCAGCUUACAGUGUUGCCAGACUCAAUUUGCAAGUUGCAGAAGUUAAGAACAUUGAACCUAUCAUGGUGUCGAGAGCUGAAAUGCUUGCCAGAUUCCAUUGGCAGAAACAAAAUGCUAAGAUUGUUGAGACUAGGUUUCACCAAAGUUCAGAGGCUACCAUCAAGUAUGACAAAACUGGAAAAUCUAGAGUGUUUGGACCUUCAUGACUGUCGUUCGCUAGUAGAGCUGCCUGAAGGCAUCGGCAACUUGGAUAAGCUUCAAGUUUUGAACUUAACAAGUUGUACAAAAUUGGGAGGAAUGCCUGUAGGUAUUGGACAGCUCAGUCGACUUCAAAAGUUGGGCUUAUUUGCUAUUGGUAAGGGAGAAAAGUUUGCUGGAAUAUCAGAGCUUGCAAAUGUAUCUAGGUUGGGUGAGGAACUAACAAUCAUAGAUAUUCAACAUGUGAUGGAUACGAAUGAUGCACAUGUGGCAUGCUUGAAACAGAAGAUAAACUUACAGAGGUUGGAACUAAAUUGGAUGUUGAAGAACAUGGAAGAGGUAAACACUGAGUUGCAGCAAGAUGUGCUUGAUGGCCUAGAACCACCACCUGGUAUUAAAGAGCUGUACAUUAGUGGGUAUUUAGGUAGGCAAUUUGCAGGGUGGAUGCAGAGUCAAGUUGGUGGUGGAGUACAGGGCCCUGCUCCCUUCCCAUUUUUGAGGGUGAUGUGGCUGUUUGAUCUCCCGAAGUUGAAGCAUCUAGAUGUGCUUGUCGAACUACCUUGUUUGGAGGAGCUUGGGCUCCUAUGGAUGCCUUCUGUUGAGAGCAUAUGUGGAGGCCCAUUUCCUUCACUGGUGAAGUUGAAGAUGUGUAAACUGCCUCGUUUGGGACGGGUGUGGAUAGUACCAGAGAGGACCAUGCCCGAUGUAGAAAAUGAGGGAGGCUGCUACAACUACAAUUUAACACCUCAUUUCGAACAAGUCCGAGUUGGUAGCCGCUUAACAGAGUUAAAGAUUGAGGAUUGUCCUAAGUUGGAGGUGAUGCCGCACCUUCCUCCGUCACUGCAGCAUUUAGUUUUGCAGGGAAGUGAGCAGCUGCUGCAGUUGCCAGGCCAAUGCCAGGGGCCUUCUUCCUCCCCCAGUUUUAACAAUCUGAAGGAGUUUGAACUACGGAAUGUGACAGGAAUGGGUGGGUGGAAGCUGUUGCACCACAUGACGGCACUCGAGUCAUUGAAGAUUUUUAGAUUCUCUGGAGUGCACACCGAGGUGCCUGCGAGCUUGUGGAGCCUCACAUCCCUGAGGUCCCUGAGCCUGCAUGACUGGGAUGAUAUCUGCGAGCUACCCGAGUCGCUAGGGGAACUCCGGUCUCUGCAAGAGUUGAUCAUCGACAGGUGCGAUAGACUGACCAGCCUCCCCCAAACAAUGGGUCAACUCACAUCCCUCCAGAAGCUCGUAAUACAAUCAUGCGAAGCACUUCACCAGUUACCCGAGUCGCUAGGGGAACUCCGGUGUCUGCAAGAGUUGAAAAUCAAUCACUGCCAUAGCCUGACCAGCCUCCCCCAAACAAUGGGUCAACUCACAUCCCUCCAGUUGCUCGAGAUAGGAUAUUGCGAUGCAGUUCAACAGUUGCCCGACUGCCUCGGAGAACUCUGCUCUCUACGCAAACUCGAGAUUACAGACUUGCGAGAGCUGACCUGCCUUCCACAAUCCAUCUGCCGCCUCACCACCUCUCUUCAAGAGCUCAGAAUCUACGCAUGCCCGGGCAUCAAAUCCUUGCCGGAGGGGAUAAAGGACCUCACGUCUCUGAAUCUAUUGGCGAUCUUGUUCUGCCCCGACCUGGAGAGGCGCUGCAAGAGAGGAACAGGGGAGGACUGGCACCUCAUCUCCCACAUCCCUGAUAUCUUCAUUGGUUCAGAAUCAGACGGAUGAACGGGGUGUGGCCGUGUGGGGAGGAUUUGGCCAGCGAUUGCAAGCUGCCGCUUAAUCGGGCCCACUGCACCUGGGAGCUAGGUGUCCUCAAUUGGCUUCAAAUGAUAUGAAGAAUUCUCUGCGCGCCUGUGUAGUGCAAUGCUUUGAUCUUUGUCACAUAGGAGUAUGGAAUUUCAGAUUCCAGAAGAACAGACGUUUGUGGUCUGUUGUUCAAUCAACAUGAUGGGCCAGCUCGUCAUCUCGUCAGUCACAAUUCACAUGACGCUCGUCUGUGUCUAUGCAAUUUCGUUGUGUGUAUAUCAAAAUAGAACAUGAAGCAAUGAUAAUCCUAAUGCAGGCCAAGGGGUUUGGCCAGUUAUGGAUAAAAUGGAUGAGAAAAAUCUUUGAGUCCGAUACUUCUGCAGUUUUACUGAAUGGGGUGCCAGGGAAGACUUUUAAUUGCAAAAGGGGAGUCAGACAAGGGGAUCCCUUAUCCCCCUUAUUAUUUGUCCUGGCAGCAGAUUUCCUUCAGUCUUUGGUCAAUAAAGGGAAGGAUUUAGGUCUGCUAAGAUUGCCCUUUCCCUUAAAUUCUAAUCUGGACUUCCCCAUAGUGCAAUACGCUGAUGAUACCUUGAUAAUCAUGGAGACAGACUCAAGACAGUUAAUGUUUCUUAAA